rnacentral:rRNA from 1 species
GACGAACGCUGGCGGCGUGCUUAACACAUGCAAGUCGAACGGAAAGACCCUGCUUUUGUGGGGUGCUCGAGUGGCGAACGGGUGAGUAACACGUGAGUAACCUGCCCUUGACUUUGGGAUAACUUCAGGAAACUGGGGCUAAUACCGGAUAGGAGCUCCUGCUGCAUGGUGGGGGUUGGAAAGUUUCGGCGGUUGGGGAUGGACUCGCGGCUUAUCAGCUUGUUGGUGGGGUAGUGGCUUACCAAGGCUUUGACGGGUAGCCGGCCUGAGAGGGUGACCGGCCACAUUGGGCCUGCGAUACGGCCCAGACUCCUACGGGAGGCAGCAGUGGGGAAUAUUGCACAAUGGGCGGAAGCCUGAUGCAGCAACGCCGCGUGCGGGAUGACGGCCUUCGGGUUGUAAACCGCUUUCGCCUGUGACGAAGCGUGAGUGACGGUAAUGGGUAAAGAAGCACCGGCUAACUACGUG